AUGAUGAAAGUCAUCAUGGAGGCGCGGCAUAUGUGGAAAGCCGUGGAAACCAAUGAUGUCGAGUACGAGGAGGACCAGUUGGCGAUGGAGGCAAUCUUGCGCUUCGUCCCAGCAGAGAUGGUGCUCACCCUUGGCGCCAAGGAGACGAUCAAGGAAGCAUGGGACACCAUCAAGACUCUGCGCAUCAGCGUGGAGCGCGUACGGGAGUCAAAGGCCCAGACCUUGCGCCUCCAGUACGAGGAGAUCCGGUUCAAGGCCGGUGAACAAGUCGACGACUUCGCCUUACGGCUACAAGGUCUUGUCACCGAGCUUGCAACGCUCGGGGAUCCCAUCGACAAUAAGAUGGUGAUUCUCAUGUUUCUCCGCAUCGUCCCCAGGCAGUACAAGCAACUGGCCUGGUCCAUCGAGAGUUUGGUGGAUCUCUCCACCAUGACGAUCAAGGAGCUGGUAGGGCGGCUGAAGGUCGUCGAGGAGCGCGGUGACGAAGCCGACAACCGUGCUGGCGGUGAACUACUGCUCACCAGGGAGCAGUGGGACGCGCAGCUUCAGCAGCGCGGUAGCGACGGCUCUUCCGGCAGUGGGGGAGGCGCCCCCACGGGAAGUAGCGGUCGCGACAGAGGCGGAGGCCACGCCCAGAGUGGCGGCGGCAACCGUGGUCGCAAGACAAACCACGCAGGGCGAGGCACUGGCAACGGUGGCAAGUGCCGCUACUACAACAUGCCGGGUCACUGGAUCCGGGAUUGCCGCAGGAGGAAAGCCGACGAGGCAGCCGCGGCGACGGCAAACCUCGUCCAGGCUGACGUGGACGGCGGGCCAGCAAUGAUACUGGCAAGAGUCGAGCCCGUGCAGGAGAGCUCAGUGUCUCUCGCGACCACGGCUCCGACAUCCACCCAUUUCGUGCAAAAGGCAUGGAGCGGGUCCACGGGAACCAUCACUCCAGUGACAGGCCACACCUCGACAACGAUGUUCUCGGGGCAUGUCGACUGGGAGGCGAUGAAGGCUCGGGUGUGGGGGAGCCACACCCCGGCGACGGCGUCCCCGACAACCUCUGGACCCGACGAGGCCGCGCAAGUUGGCGCGGCAAUGACGCAUAUGGCGGACCAUGCUCCGACCAUGAUGUUGGCGACCAUCGACUCCAUGCAGGAGCGCACGGACAAUCAGGACCCCGGGAAGCAAGACCCCGGGAAGUGCCACCCCGGGAAGCCCGGGAGGUGUGGAUCCGGGAAUUGCAACCCCGAGAACACCGUCCCCGGGUACGGUGUCCCCGGACACCCCGACGUCAAGCAAGAUGGAAGGGCAAGAUGGGAUAGGAAAGAAGAUGGGGAGAAGGAGUUCACAAAUAUAACAAGCACAUAA
rnacentral:rRNA from 1 species